AUGUUAUACCACAUGGAUAAUUUACUGUAAGCCAACUAUUUGAAGCCAUAAGUGAAAGAUCUGAGUAACAAUUUGGUCAGCCUGUUUUUUACAGAUAAAUCCCAUUUUACAUGUUAAGACACUUCCAAAGCACUUUUAUAAUAAUGUCCACAUGGGGGGGCUGAUACCGUCUGGAACACAUUCGGCGUGGGAAUGAGUUGCCCCCUCCUUCCCAUUGCUGGGAACAGUCAAAACUAGGCUGAACCACAAAGUGAAAGUAUUUUCUUAGCUCGUAAGAUUUGCCACGAGGACUGGACUAUAGGGAGAUUGGAAUCAAAUUGAGAAAGGCCUUAACAUGGCGUUGGUCUUCAGCUUGUCCACUCUCAUGUUUCUCCUCAUCACUGGGAUGGAGACAUCCAAAAGUCUAAGUCAGGGCCCAGAGUUGAAGCAGGUCGUCCAGGUGGACUCUGGGAAGGAUGCAGUCCUAGAGUGCUCUGUGAACAUCAGUGAGAAAUCCACUGGUAAUGUAAACAUAGAGAAGGUCGUGUGGUGGAGGCUGGACCAGAAUGGUCUUCACAAAGGUGGACCUGUGUUCAAAUGCAACAUAUUCAAUCAACAAUCCUCCAAUCCCAGGUUGCAGCUGAACCCAAAAUAUCAGCUUCCCAUGCCACCUGCCAAUGAGAAAGACAAAGUUGUGUCCCUGUUGGUCAAAGAAACCCAGCCUGAAGACGAGGGUCCGUAUGAGUGUGUGGUGAACACUGACAGUGGAAUCACACAUUGUAACUUCAUGCUGAAGGUCACAGUGUUACAGUACGAGCCCAGCACUGAAAAGGAGAUUCCAAAGAACAGUUACAUGAGUGUGGCUGCUGUAUGUGUGGUAGUAGGCUCUCUUGCCAUUGGACUGCUGCUUCUCAAGCUGUUUCAAGCCAGAAGACUCAGACAAGAGCCUCAGGAUACAGCAGUCCCAGCAGAGCACAACCCCAGCACCAGGACAGGACCGUUUCCGUAGCGACAGAUGUAUUAUCAGGGGUGCCAUGGGCUCUCUUCUCUGUCGAUGUCAUGUCUGCUCUGUCUCUCACGUCACAUCGCUAACUGAAUGUGAAUGCUUUGCCUGGAGGAGGGAGCAAUCUGGCUCAACACUAUUCUGUUCCCCCUCUGCAGGAGAAAUGGAGUGCACGCAUUGUCCUGCUACCAAGCUAAUUGUUAGCAGCAUUGUCUGUAGUUGUUAAUCACACCAGACUAUUCUUUCAUAAUUGUUUUAUAUAUUGUAACUAAAACCUGAUAUGAAACAAAUGCACAUAUUUAGUGGACAUUGAUUUGACAGUGAAGACACUAGUGUGAUACAGUAGCAGUGUGUGAAAUUGAUCUUGACAGAACACCUUUACUUUGUGCAUCACAAUUUGAAGAAGUCAUUUAUUCAGAAGCCAAUAUUGUGUUUUAGUUCAUUUGAGAGUUGCUUUAGUUGACAAAUGCCAUGUUUUUUAUUGUUACAAAGUGGGAUUCAAAUUUAUUUAAUUGUCAUUUUUUUGUAAACAAUCUACAUAAAAUACUCUGUCAAAGUGGAAGAAAAAAUAACACAAAAAUACUGUAGCGACCCAAACAGCUGUGUUAUGUAUUAUGCUGUUGGUUUUGUUGUACUUACCAGUACGCAGUGUUCGCGGGGUCCGACAUGCCAGUCAAUCUGCUAUCUGCCAACCACUGCCUGGAAUGUUCUUGUGCCGGGCAUCCUGGUGGCUGGUGGAGCAGCAGGGGGGUGGAGCAUCGCAGGUUUAAGGCCAUGUUUAGCCAUUGUUCUCUCUCUUACUUCUGGUCUUCACAAGAGAUGUUCACGGUUGUUCAUAUGGAUAUCCUUAAUUUAUUUGGCGUGGGCUAUGGCCGAACAGUAGCCUGUGUGGAGUUGGGUUAAUAAACCGUGAAUUCGUCAACUCAACCCUCUGUCUGGACAAUUGUAUCUUUAUGAUCUAGCCAGGUCAUUACAAUACCUUUAAGUAUUCAAACCCCUGAGUCGAUACAUAGUAGAAACACCAGCUGUGGGUCUUCCUGGAUCACAGGAGCAGGGACACAUCCCAUCAAAGCUCGCAGGGACACAUCCCAUCAGAGCUCGCAGGGACCCAUCCUGUCAGAGCUCACAGGGACCCAUCCCAUCAGAGCUCAUAGGAGCAGGAACACGUCCCAUCAGAGCUCACAGGAGCAGGAACACUUCCCGUCAGAGCUCACAGGAGCAGGAACACGUCCCAUCAGAGCUCACAGGAGCAGGAACACGUCCCGUCAGAGCUCACAGGAGCAGGAACACGUCCCAUCAGAGCUCACAGGAGCAGGAACACAUCCCGUCAGAGCUCACAGGAGCAGGAACACGUCCCAUCAGAGCUCAUAGGAGCAGGAACACAUCCCGUCAGAGCUCACAGGAGCAGGAACACGUCCCAUCAGAGCUCACAGGAGCAGGAACACUUCCCAUCAGAGCUCACAGGAGCAGGAACACGUCCCAUCAGAGCUCACAGGAGCAGGAACACGUCCCAUCAGAGCUCACAGGAGCAGGGACAUGUCCCGUCAGUCAUGAAGCAUCUCACAAGGGUGAGAUUCAGGUCCUGCUGAACAACUUGCAGCAGGAGAUGAAGUACAUGCAGGGGCAGCUCAAUACCAGGAUAUCAUCCCUGCGCAGAGGGUGGGCAUCCCUACCACCCUCCCAACAGUCAGCGUCCCUGCGACCAAUGCAAUGCUCCAACACCAUCUCCAAUCACCACCAUGGUGGGACCAACGUGGAAUGAUGGAGUGAAUACCACAUGUGGAGAUUUCUACUGCAAGAGAAAGGAUACCUGGAGUAGAUGUGGUGCAUUGUUCCAUAAUGACCAUCACCGAGGCCAACCCUCAGAGCCAGACUGGCAGCCGGCCGGGGGCUGAGCCUGAGACACCUGCUGUAGCGCUUCAGAACAGUGGAUGAUGGAUCUUCAGGAGAGGGAAGUAGAUUCAUUUAUCUGAUGAGAAAGACCACUCCUUAAGGAACCUGUUUAAAUAUUCUUUGUAGACACAAAACUGACCCCAAGGCUGAGGUAUUCACUUUAAAUCAUGUCAGUUAAAAAUAGCGCCUGAUCAUUGUAUUUUAACUGUGAGAAUGGUACUAAUCAUUUGGAGAAUUUGUUGAUGUGGUUUACAGAACAAGCCUGUACCACCACCUCCCCCGAUGGGAAUGUAUCUGGGGAACUCUGGUCUUCCCAAAGGGGGGAAUCCUUACUUCAGGAAAGCAGUCUAACAGCAGGUCUAUGGGAAAAAUAUCCCAGGAUGCUCUACUCUGAUGGGACCACCUCAACACCAUCAAGCCAGCUCCGUUGACAGUUCCCUGCCCAACACUCCACCUUCGUGGCACAGAUGACAGAAACUUGCCCCUGGAACUCUACCCUACUUUGCUCUCUGAGGCCUGGCCCUCAAAAGUACCCAAAUUGUUGGCUUUAUGCAGACACCUCUCCCCCCCACUAGAGAGAGUUGUUCUCACACCCUGACUUGAGGUUUACCAACAGUAGGUGCUGUGUGCACUGUCUUUAGUUCCAGACCCAUUCUAACCUGAUUCAAUAAGCAAUUGACCAGACCCACUCUAACCUGAUUCAACAAGCAAUUGACCAGACCCACACUAACCUGAUUCAACAAACAAUUGACCAGACCCACACUAACCUGAUUCAACAAGCAAUUGACCAGACCCACACUAACCUGAUUCAACAAGCAAUUGACCAGACCCACACUAACCUGAUUCAACAAGCAACUGACCAGACCCACACUAACCUGAUUCAACAAGCAAUUGACCAGACCCACUCUAACCUGAUUCAAUAAGCAACUGACCAGACCCACUCUAACCUGAUUCAACAAGCAACUGACCAGACCCAUGGUCUUCAAUUUAGACCAUAAUUAUUGAAUCAGGGAGCAAGGGACUGCUGGUCCAAAAGCAGGAGGGAGACACUAUGACCAUCCACUGCAGCACCUCUCUGCCAGACCAAGAAAACCUGAGUGUGUACAUGCGCCUAACAAAAGAGAUUCUAGUCCUAGACCAGGAAACAGAAAAAUUAAGAGGUUUGAACCACGAGAGGUUCAAACUCAGAUUGACGACUAACGGAAGACUCAACAAAAUGGGCAUCACCAUCACAAACCUGACCAUAGAAGACUCUGGGGCCUACUGGUGUGUGUACAGUGUUUAUAAGAAAAACAAGAUUGAGAAGACUGAGGGGGAAGGAGCUGUUUUGCUGGUGGUAAAUGAUGAGGAGUGUGACCAGAAUGACGCAUCCUCAGGGCUAGGAAUGUCCUGGUAUCUAGUCCUGGUCUCAGCUGUCACUGCUGGCUCUGUGCUUCUCCUGAGUCUGCUCAUCCUCUUCAUCUGGGUCAUCCCCAGGUUAAAGGCAUGGCGUGCAACGAUUAGACCAACACAGAGCAAGAGUAGCGAUGUCUAUGAAGACAUGCGCACCACCAUUAGACGUGCACACCCCCCCCAGAUGGGUUAUUAGUGAUGUUGCACGGCAGCCAUCUUUACUUUGGGCACCAACCUAAGACAGGUUGCUACGGGUGUUGCACAGCAGCCAUCUUUACUUUGGGCACGACCUUCGGACAGCUUGUUACUGAUGAUGUACGGCAGCCAUCUUUAAUUUGGGUCCAAAUGGAAGCUCAUGUCAGCUGACUAAGAGACAAUUAUGUAAACAUACUGUAAUACAUGAUGUCAACGAAGGACUUUGAAAGAUAUAUUCUCAGGUUGUGUUAAGUAGCAAGGGUUUGCAUCAAUGAUGUACUCUUAUGUCAGUCAUUCAACCUCAAGGUAAGCUACCUAUAUACUGUAGCUACUUAAGUACACAGCAUUGUAUGUGACUGACAUCACACAUUGUAAAUGGUUGUUCAUACAGAGGUUCGUUAUAGUCCUUGACCCUGACGUAGCAGGGAGAAUUUGAGUCUUGUAAUUACAACCACAAUUUAACUUGAAAAUAGCACUGAUUGCUGUGCAUGGAAUUUCAUUGUCUUUAGCUGUACAUUCUAUUUUUCUUUAUAGAUUGACAAUAUAUAUUUUUUAACAACUUUUAAAUGUUGAAUUGAUUCUCUAUUGUAUAUAUAUGUUUUUACAUAUUUGAUGGCAUUGGGCCUAUGCCUAUUUUUCAGGCGCCAGGCAACUUUUACUGCUAUUUUAUUGUAAUACUUUUGCAUUCUUUAGUUCCUGUACUGAUCAUGUUGUUCCUGUAAUGAUAGUCUAUUUUUUAUAAUAAAUGAGUCAUAAGACUUCCA